UUGUAGAAAACAGGUAUCACAUCCCUUCCAUAUCUCUUCUUGCAUUCAAGUAUCUUAGUGAGUUCAUUCAAGCACCAAGUGGAAGAUGCAUAGUUUUGGGAGAAAACGAUGACAUAAAUCUUUGAUUCUUCUAUUGCAGAGAGUAGUGCAGGUGAAAUUUCUUCGCCCCGGGGUAGUCUCUCGUCAAUAUAUGCUUGAAUGUUCUUCCUUUGCAGUGCUGCAUGAAGGUGACGAAUGAAGUUGUCACGUGUGUCUUCCCCUCUGAAGCUGAGAAACACAUCAUGCUUUGUUAGAGAAGCAGACACGGGGAAUGAUGAAGGACUUCCUGACAUUGGAAUCAAUUUUCUCUCUUUUCUCUUGCAACUCUCAGUGCCUUUGUUUGUACACAAAUCAACUCUUGGAAAAGUCUUUGAAUUUUCUCAAAAGUAUCUUUCACAGAUCACGCACGCGUGGAAACAUAGCUGUGUUAAAAUCCUUAUUUAAGUUUUAAUUGGGCCUUGUAGUGGGCUUUGUAAUGUGCUUUUCUUUUCUCCUACAUUGCUUUAUAUAUACACCUCAGCGUUUGCUUUCUACAUUUCAUUUUACAAAAUACAUUCUCUCAUUUUCUACCUUUUAUAUUGUCUGAUUCCGUUCUCUCUUUAUUUUUUUUCAAAUCUCUUUUGCUUACAAUUUUUUUUUCUUUUUUAAGAAAUGUACUUUUUCAAGUUUAAUUUAAUUUUAUAAAACAGUCAUCUUUCUACAGUAUUAUCAUCUCUUACGUGAGAUUAUUAUAUAUUAUUUGGUGAUCUAAGUAAACUUUUAAUCCAAUAAACUUUAAAAAUAAUUCUAAUACUAUAUUAAAAAAUGAAAUUUAAAUCUAAUUCUAUUUUAUAAAAUAUAUUUAUUCAAUGCUAAAAUAUCUCUAAUUGAGUAGGGAUGUUCAAAAUACUUAUUGGUUCUUGAUUUUCACUUUCACUUUUAAGGUUUUUCUUCGCAGACACGUAGUAAACAGAAAUACAAAAAUAUGAGUCAAUGGAAGAGUCUAACGAUUCGCAGAAUAUUAUGGUGUCUAGCUUUAUACCGCAUUAAUGCGAGGAGUUUCUUUAAUAUUUUUACUCAAUUUAUUUAUUUUUAAUUCUUUUUUUUUUCACACCUUUUACAAAUAAAGAAUCGUAUUUCUUUAAUAUAUUUUAGAAAAUAACCACUAAACCUUAUUAUAAAAUAUAUUUAUGAAAUGCACGUGUAAGAAUAACAGGAAAAAUAUUACUACGAAAAACAAUAUAUUAAUAUUAAUAUGUUUCUUAAUAAAUUUCAUACCCACUGUCUAUUUAUAAAUUAAUAUAAUAUAAAUAUCUUUAAUGAUGUUUUUGUGGGUAGCUUAUUUCUCUAACGCAGAAUAUUAUGGUGUCUACUUUUAUAAAACAUUACAUUUUGAUUUUAAUAUUUAUUAAAUAUUUUUUAUUUGGGAUGAAGUAACGAUGAUGAAUCGAAUGUGUUUUGAAGUCUGACAUAACUUUUAGAGAUGUUAUGAGAACGGUUAAUGACGGAAAUUAUCAAAAACCUUUUGGGGGAAGGUUGUGGUUUUGGGAGGUGAUUUCAGGUAAAUAUUGUUAGUGGUAAAAAAAGGAUUAAGAUAUGAUGUUGUGAAGUCAACAAUCAACUUUUCUCAUUUGUGGUUAAAUUGUCGAGUCUUAAAACUUUCUCAAGGAAAUCCAACACGAUCUAUUGAUUGAGCCCACAAAAACACCUUUGUUAUCAUUGGUGAAUUUUGUUUAUCCUAAUUUAUUGACUGAUAUGUUAUGUCCUGAGUACUUUGAGUAUGGAGCAAUACUUUGUCCGACAACUGAAUCAGUAGAGCAAGUGAAUGAUUUUAUUUUAUCUCUGUUAAGUGGUAAAUAAAUAAAUUAUCUUAGUUCGGAUACACCUUGCCAAUUAGAUUAAGAUCAAGAAUUUAAAGUGAAUGGUUCACUUCUGAGUUCUUAAAUGAGAUAAAAUGUUCAGAGAUACUAAAUCAUCGCCUUCAUUUGAAAAUUGGCGUGCCUAUUAUGCUUUUGAGAAAUAUUGAUCAAACCAACGGUCUUUGUAAUGGAACAAGGUUGCAAGUUAUUGAUUUGAAGAAAAUGUUAUUUGUGCAAUAGUUCUAACAGGAACAAAUAUUGGUGAUAAAAUCUUUAUUUCAAUAAUGAAUUUGAUCCCUUUAGAUGUAGGUAUGCCAUUCAAAUUCUAGAGAAGACAAUUUCCAAUAACUUUAUGUUUUGCAAUGACAAUUAAGAAAAGUCAAAGUCAAUUAUUGACCAAAGUUGGUUUAUAUUUUUCACGUCCAAUUUUCACACAUUGAUAGUUGGAUGUAGCUAUUUAUAGAGUUAGAAAGAAAAAAAUUUAAAAAUUCUAACUCUUGAUGAAGAUGGGAAUGCAACAAACAAGAAAAAGAAAAUGUUUACACUGAAACUUUUGACAAUAUUUAAAAACAAUAGAAUUAUAUGAUAAACUUGGAAUAAUGGCUAAUUCUCCCUGCACCCAAUAUUUUUGAACAUGCAACUUUUAAAUUUGCUCCCUUGUAAUUAUAUUUUCUUAUGUGUGAUGUAGUAACAGUUGCCUUAUUUAAAAUGUUACUAAAUAACAUAUCAUUUAUAUCUGUUAUUUUUAUUCUGUUCUGAUUUUAUAUAUAUGUUAACGAAGUUGAGAAUUUUCUGAUUUUACAGGUCCAUGCACAAACCUAAUAUAAUGAUAUGAUAUUCAAUAUCAAGAGGUACUUGUCGUAAAACGGGGAAUAUGAGAGACUCCAUAGAAUGAAGAAAAAGUAUAAAGAGGAUUUACAAAUUACCCUUUCAAAUGCAGCUCCUCAGAAUUUCUUAAUGCCUUCACUGCAAAUGCAACCCAAAUAAGCUAAAGAAGUUAAUCAAACUAUACAUUAAGAGUUUCAAGAAAAUGAAACUCUGGAACAACAGAGCAACCCAUCUCAUGCUCAAUAGAAACAUCAAACUAUAUCUAACAAUAACUUAGAAAUCUUUGUCAACAAUUGAACGAACCCACUCCUAAAAUGCCAUUGAAAAUGUAAAUAAAUAAAUAAAAAUUAAAAAUGAGAAUUCAUAAUAAAAUUUCAUCGUGUUGAAACUUGUAAUUUAGAAGUAUUACGAUAAGCCAGUUUUGAUCCUCGCGAAUGAAAGACUAAUUAGCAGAAAGACUGUGCAAAAUUCCUUCCACUGGAUUCUUCGAUGUCAACUGAUUUGGUAUAAAGAGGACAUAUGCCGCAUUCUUUUAUUGUGAUAACUGAUUUCAACUCUCUCACAAGUAAUUUGCGAUUUGACCGAUUUGGCCGCAGAAAGGGAUCAUCAUAAUCAUGCGAACUGAUCUCAAAAGUGAAGCUGCGAGCAUCACACAGCCUAAGGCUCAUGCCGCUUGCCCUUAGGGACUCCAAGUUAAAUUUCCACACCAAUGUGUGAUCUUUAUCAACACCUCUCUCUUCAUCAUCCCAUCUGAAAUAGUUGUUUAACACAUCAUUAUUUGGAAUUAUCCGUGUGCCAUGAUCAUCAGAUUCAAAUUUUAGGCUGUAACCAAAGGAACCAUAUCUACCUUUAACAACUUUCGUAUCUAACACUUCAAAAACCACACACAAAGCGAAACCACUGAGCCUAUCAUCGCUUAAAAAACUUAAAUCUUCAUUUAUAGUCACUGAAUGUCCCUUCCCACGAAAAUGGAACCAACCAGGAACUGCACUCCCUGGAAAACAGAAGAACACACACCUAUAUCUAUCGUCGGUCAUCCUAAGCCUUGCAUCCUCCUCAAUGUUAGCACGACCACCUGAAUCCAGUUGUUGAGCAUUGGUCAAAAGAAAUUUGAAGAAACCCUCUUUGGAAUUUGACAAGUUUGGAACAAGAGAAUUGGACAUCACUCUUCUAAUGGAUGGGCAAUCCAAUGCCACUAGUUUUUUUAGAAAUGGUGGAAUCUCUGGGAUGCAUUCAAGCUUUUUGCAGUCGCUUAAAUCAAGCGAUUUCAAGCUUGAAAGAUGAGCAACGCUCUCAGGAAGGUUCACAAUUCCGCUAUCACACAGUGACAGUUCCAUUAAUGACGUCAAGCGACCGAUAUCUCUAGGGAUUUCUGUUAAUCUGGCACACCCCGAACAAUCAAGUUUAGAGAGAAGCUUGAGAUUAACAAUGGAGUUUGGAAGUGACUCCAGAUCAGUGCAUUUGCGGAGCUCCAGGGAUCGAAGAUUAACCAAAUUGGCAAAUGAGGAAGGCAGUUCUUUAACAGCCGUACAUAUCAAGUUAAUGUGAUCAAAAGUAGGAGCCGGCUCUGUGAUCUCUGGGAAGGUCCUCAGACUUGAGCAACCACACAAAUCAAGGUUCCUCAACUUCAAAUUGAAAAUGGUGCUUGGAAAAGUUUGUAGUGAACUACAGUGGGUAAGGUCUAACUUGCAUAGUCUGGUGAGGCUUCCAAUGGAAGAUGGAAUAAUCUCAAGAUUGAAGCAACUGCACAAACUCAGUUGUUGAAGCCCUACCAAACGGCACAAGGAUGAAGGUAGUGCCUGUAUGGCUGUGUCGUCUAAGAUGAGCACCACUAGAUCUUCCAACGUGUCCUGAAUCUGGGGUAAAUUUUCCAAUUUUGAGCAACCACGGAGUGAAAGUUGCUUUAGGAACUUCAUAUCAGAAAGGUCAAAUGGAAAGAUUGUAAGGGAAGAACAGUGAGAGAGAUCUAAGUGACAGAGCCUCUUGAGAUUUUGAAAGUUUGAGGGUACACCUUCGAGUAUUGUCGACACUUCACAUUGUGAGUAUAUAGUAUUAUUACCCACUUCUUCUUCGUUAUAUCUGUCAAAACUAAUUGAGGAAAUUUCACUGGAAGUUGGGAAAAUACCUUUAGCAUUAUGGAAUUUAACAGUCCCUCCCAAAAGUAAACUUGAGAAAGUUGGACGUUGACCCUCCAGUUUCACAUGAAGGUAUCUGGGUUGACUGGUUGAAAACAUUUCAAGCUCCUCACAGUGAGAAAGAAUGAUCAAUCCUGGAGAUGUGGAUAAAAUCUUGUUGGGAAUAUUUACACUUUUGAGAUGAUAACAAUGAUCUAAACAUAAACAACUGAGCUUGCUGAGGAAUAUCGAAGAGUGAACUUUAAUCAACUUUUGACAAUAACUCAGAAUUAGUUCUUCAAUAUUCGGUGACAGAGAAAGGUCUGGUAUUCUAGUAAGUUUCAGAGAAUGACUCAGGUUGAGCCUUUUCAAGUUGGGUAAAUUCUGCCACAAAAAGUAAAUGAAUCAGGUAACAAUGAAAAACUAAAAUAAAGUUUUAUGCAAUUUUAUCUAUUUUUCUUCGGUAAACUAUGAGCUACAUCAUCUAUCGAGUUUAUAUUUUACAUAAAACCACUGUUAAAAAAAUCACACUGUUAACUAACAAAAUUAUGGUCACUAUAAAUUUUAUAGUUAUUAUAAAAAUUCACAAAAUUUAACGUGUUUUUGUUCUCUACCUAAAAUUACAUCCUAAUAAUUUGAACCUAAGCUUAUUAUGUAUUGAAAAACUUACUAUAGUAAUUUAUAAUCCAUGACAAUGUCGAAAUACUUUAUACUAUGCAUGUUAAAAUUUGAUAAAAUGUCGAAAUACUGACAAAAUAAAAAUGGUGUUUUCCGAGAGUUAAAAUUAAACUUUAGUUAAAAUAAGUCCAUCUUUACAUAUUUUAUAAUUUGUUGUAUAUUAUAUUGAAGUUGAUGUUAUAAUAAAAAAAUGACUUAAUUAAUCGAAAAAUGUGGAGAAAACACAAAGAAAUUGCAAAUGCUUGUAUAAUUUAUUUUUAUCUUUGAAAGUUUAAAAGACAAAGGAACAUAGAUAACUUGAAAAACCUGAUCUCCUUCCCAGAGUUGUUCAAGACGGCAGCCUGGCAUUUCGAGGAUCACUAGAUUUUGUGGGCAAAAGUUUGGAGGCCAAAAUCUUUGCGGGAAAUCUCUCCAAUAAAGAAACUUUAGAGUGUCUGGCAGACCUACGAGAGAUGAUUCAAGAGACACAUUUGAUAUGUAUUCAGUUGAGUAGAGUAAAAACGUCCAAAGAUCAUCCAACUCUUUACGAGACACAUCUGAUAUGUAUUUAGUUUUAUUUUGCUCGUAUCUAGUAAUAUACACUGUAUUGCAUCUGACCCCUGAAAGUAAAUCAAUGUAAUUAGAAGAAAAAAACAUGAAAUGUUGCAUUGCAGGAUGUUUGAUGACAGCUCAGUGGUUUGCAAUUUUUCACAAAGUAAAUUAAUGACAGGUCAGUAGUUAUAUACCUUAUUCUUUCUUAAAACCUCACAAAUUUCCUCAGCAUUAAACAAUCGGCUGCGUUUUCCAGGAUGCUGAGGACACUCUUUACGAACAAUUUCUUUACCCAUUUCUUCUAUUAGAUCGUGCAUCACAAUUCUACCAUCAAUGACAGAUAUUAGGCCCCUAUCUUUCAGAAUAUCCAUUCCAAUCUUAGAAGAGAAACCAAAGUCAUCAAGUCUUUCUGCUACCUCAAUCUCCUCGUGACCUCUAUAAAAGCAAGCUAUGUCAAGAAAUAUAUUCUUCUCCUCCUCCUCCAGCCCAUCAUAACUUAAUUUUAAUACAUUGAAAAUACCAAGAUGUUGGCCCUUUUUCAACUUUUGCAACUCACUCUCCCAUGCUUCUCUUGUUCUGCCAUAAAGCAAUGACCCCAAAAUCUGGAGAGCUAACGGAAUCCCUUUUGCAUAUCUCAACACCUUUUCUGACAGGUCCAUGUAAGAUUUUUCUGCUGAAGAUUUUUGUUUAAAAGCAUGUAAACUAAAAAGUUUAUGAGAAUCAUCAAAAUUCAACUCCUUAACCUCGUAGAUAUCAUCAGCUCCAGCAUUUCUAAGCACUUGUCUGUCUCUACUGGUCAUAAUGAUUCUACUGCCCUGCCCAAAACUACCACUCCCUCCUAUUAAUUUUUUAAGUAUAGCUGAAUCGGUAACAUCAUCAAGAAUGAGGAUAGCCUUUGUCCGUUUGAGCCUUUCAUUGUAAUAUGAUAAAUCAGGGGAUUUCUUUAUCUCUUCCUUUAGAAGCACAGACAGAUAUUUUCUUCUGAUACUGUCUAUUCCAUCUCUUUGUAUUUUUUCUUGAACGUCUAAAACAAGGCUGCUGGAAUCAAACUGCACUGCCAAUUUCUGAUAUAUUUGAUUACAAAUUGUAGUUUUUCCUAUUCCUCCCAUGCCACAAAUUCCUAUGAUCCGAACAUCCGUUGACUCAAGAUGCAACAAGGACUGAAUUCCUUCAAUAUUUUUUUCAAUGCCGAUGAUUCCUUGAUCAUAACUGGUGGAAUAACGAUUCAAUUUUCUCAAAAUAUCUUCCACAAUUUCUUCAACAAGUGCGUGUUCUGGCCUGGCAGAUGAUUUAGAAAAUAAAGUAUAAGUAUUCAAGCACAAAAGCUAAAGUAAACUAAAGAAAAAUUUUACAGUAACCGUUUGUGACUUCUGAUACUAGGGAGCAGACUUGUAGGUACAAAGUUAAACUAUAAGAUCAGAUAUGGUUCAGAUCCAUGACCGACUAAGAGAAAUGAAAAAAGAAACACUUGAUUUAUGGUGAGAUGAACACAAUUUUAGUAAAUGAAAAGAGAUCCUGAUUAUCUAACAAAUAUAAUGACCUGGUGACUUUUGAAUCCCAGCCUGCAAGUUUAGCAGCUUCAGUUAGAGCAUCCUUCCAUCCUUGCACUUUAUCGUGCUUAAGGUGCUGCUCAUGCUUUUCGAAUGCUUCAUUGUAUCUUUGUUCCUGCUUCCUAAUAGUUGAUGGAUCCACCUUGUAGAAAACAGGUAUGACAUCCCUUCCAAAUCUCUUCUUGCAUUCAAGUAUCUUAGUGAGUUCAUUCAAGCACCAAGUGGAAGAUGCAUAGUCUUGGGAGAAAACGAUGACAUAAAUCUUUGAUUCUUCUAUUGCAGAGAGGAGAGCAGGUGAAAUUUCUUCGCCCCUGUUUAAUCUGUAAUCAAUAUACGCUUCAAUGUUCUUCCUCUGCAGCGCUGCAUAAAGGUGACUAAUGAAGUUGUCACGUGUGUCUUCCCCUCUGAAGCUGAGAAACACAUCAUGCUUUGUUAGAGAAGUAGACACGGGGAAUGAUGAAGAACUUCCUGACAUUGGAAUCAAUUUUCUCUCCUUUCUCUGCAAAUCUCAGAUUCCUUUGUUUGUACCAUUUCUACCUGAAGAAGUGUUUAAAUUUUCUCAAAAUACCUUGCACAGCGUGUUCUGGUCAGACAUAAAGAAAAAGACAAAUAUUAAGUUAAUAGAAUAGUCAACAAUUUAAAAAAUAAGUAUGAAAUAUAGAUAUAUAUCAUUAUCACGUGUGGAAGCUACGUCGUCUUGUAUUGGAUUUUCUAAUCUGCCUUUUAUCUUGUCUCAUUCUUCUUUAUCUUUUUUCUCUCAUCUCUCUUGCUUACGAUUUCUUUGCCUUUAUUCAGAAAUUUUAUUUAUAAUAAACCUUCAAUAAUAUUUGUACUUUCUAGCAUAUAGAAUACUUAAUGGAUCCUUUUCUGAUUUUUCUUUUCUAAAGUGCAAUUGAUAUUUUAAAUGUUUUUCUAUUUAAUUUUCCUUUCUUAAUGACACAUAAAAUGGUUCAGUGCACAAUUAAUUACUCUCACCUUAGAUUUCAUUCAUCUCAUUCCAUUUCCACACUCAAAUCAUUCUCACAUUUGUUUCUACCUGUUUCACAAAGUUUUAGUUAAAAUAUGGAAAUUAAUGUUCAAGAACCCUACUUAAUAUUAAUAUUCAACAAUUUAAAAUAUUAAAAUGCAAAUUAAUCUUUCUUAAUAAUGUCAUUUUUAUGUAAAAAAUAAAAUGUAGUUUAGUCAUUUAUACUUAGAUGGAUAAAGAUGGUUUUAGAAAAAAAAAUGCAUUUUAUUUCAAAGGUUAUCUAAGCUCUGAACUCAUUUAUGAAUUAAUAAUAAUAAAUAAUAUGUAAUUGUAUUCCAAUACCAUAUAAUUUUUUUUAUUGGGUGCGUUUCUGAUGAAUUAAUUAAUGCACUCUAGGGACAAUGAUCGCUCUAGUAUUUGAUUUUUUUAUUUAUUUUAAUGUUGAAAUUAUAGCUAUUUAGUACAGAUACUAUUGACACCGACACAGAUACGACACAGACACAGAGAUACUUAAAAUCUCUAAAAUGUAAGAUACAGAGACAUUAAUCUAUAUAUUAUAUAAUUAUGAAUUAUAUAAAUUAACAAUAAAGACUUAUGUGCACAAGUAUUUUGGAGAUUAUUUUUUAAGCAGAAAUAUGUUUUUCAUGACUGUUUCACAAAGAUUUGUUUCUUAUUUUUAUAAUCAUAAUAACAAUUUAUACCAUAAAGUUUGAAUUUUAGAAAAUUAAUGUAUUUUUUCUUUUUAAAAUUCCGUUAGAAUCGUACUAAAAUUGUAAAAAAUCUAACAAAUACAUUUUGAAUUGGACAUUUCACAAAUACAUGUCCUACCAGUAUCAUACGAAUGUAAACAAAAUUCUUUCUUCAUAUGCCGCAUUCUUUUACUGUGAUAACUCAUUUCAACUCUCUCACAACUGAUUCGUAAUCUGUGGGAUGCAUUAAAGCCUUUUGCAGUUAAAUCAAUAGUAUAUGAUGAUGUGAAUGUUAUUUAUAUACUAAAUAUAAUCACAUAGUAACUUCAAAUUUGAUAAGGUACAACAUGUUACCAUAUCUCUUUUAAUUUCUUUUAUUUCAUUAUAUAUUUAGGUGUAUUUAAUUUCUUUUUAUUUCAUUGUGUAUUUAGGUGUAUUACGUAAAAUAUAUAAUUAAAAAGAAAGAAGAAUAAUGUUAUUUUUAAAUUUAAAGAAUGACAUAUAGAAAUAAACAAGCUAUUUUGAAAUUUUUAGAUUUUACAAAACAUUACAUUUUGAUUUUAAUAUUUAUAAAAUAUUUUUUAAUUUCAUAUUUAAAACACAACACUUAGUUGAGUGUGUUCCUUAGUUACUUACCAAAUAACAACAUACAUCUUAUCGGGUCUUUUUGCGACCCGACCCAAACUCAUCUCGAUCCUAGUAGGGUUCGCAUCAUCUUCAAUUGAGGAGUAGAUUUGUCAGGAGGAAAAUAAAUUGAUUUAUAAGAACAUGUGAAGUUGUUUAGAUUGAGGAAUAAUAGAUGGAUUUUGAUUAUGAUUUAUGGUAAGUUUAAAAAAAAUAGAUUUGUUUCUUUUAACAUUUUUUGUAUUAUAAUUAUUUGCUGGCUGAAUUGUUUUGAGUUAACAUGUUUUCUUGGGGUAUGAUAUUGUGAGGUUUUAUUACAUGCAGGUACGUGAAUAUUUUUUUUAUUCUAGUUGUAUAAAUCAGGAAAAAAUGUUUUUCACAAUAUAAUUAUAAUAACCGUUUAACAACCUAAAUAAUAAUAAAAUAUUAACUCAUAUUAUUUAAUUAAAUUAUUAAAUAAAAAGUAGUAAAACUGAUUGUAGGAUGGGAAUAUGAUUAUUUUUAACUGCUAGCUCCUCAUUAUUCUUUUAUAAUAAAAAACACACUAGUAGGUGUUGAAAAUCGUAAUAUAACAAACAAGUUUUGACACACGUAGGUUUGGCAAUUGUUUUAAUAGCUGAAAAUAGUAAAACAAUUUUUAAUUACCACAAACUGCAUCUUAAAUCAUAAAAAAUAGCAUUUUUUAGUUCAUAUAUAAUAACAUUUCCAUAAAUAAAUCUCCCGCCGCCAUUGAUAUUAAUCAUUAAUAAUUUUAGAUAAUAUUUUUUACUAUAAAACAUUUAAUUGAGAUUGAAUUUUUAAUUCACACUUUUUGGUCAAAGAAUAAUAUAUUUCAUUUUUUUAUUUAUUAAAUAUUUUGUAUAAUGCUGAGAAAAAAAAAUCUCACACACACACACACAUAUAUAUAUAUAUGAUCCCUAUGUCCUACAAGUACAAUAUAACAUCGUUAGUAUAAUGAAUAAAAAUAAUGAGUAUUCAAAGUCGUGUAUUUACGUAAAAGAAUAACAUGAUUUUUAAAAGAACUCACAUUAUCAGUUUAAAUUUUGACGAUAAAAUACAUUAAUUAUAUAUAUUUAUUCAAAAUUUCAAUUAUAUUAUGCAUUAAUGGUUUUAUGCUUUUAGAGGAAUCAGAGAAACUUAGAAAAGCUUAAUGAAACCCUAUGAAUAAAGGAGAUGUAAAAGAAAGAGAAAAAGGAAGUGAGAAAAGAUGAUAAUUAAUAAACACCCACUCUUCAUAACAUAGAGUCUUUAAACCUAUAUUCCCUCAAACAGCAUUUAUAAGUUAUUAUCACCCACAUGGAAUAAGGUGCCUCAAUGUGAACAAACCAAGAUCAGUAAGAAAUAUGAGGUUCAAAUAACGAAGCUGAGAAUUUUCUGGUUUUACAGCUCCAUGCACAAACCUAAUACAAUGAUAUGAUAUUCCAUAGGAUGGAGAAAAGUAUGAUAUGAAGAGGAUUUACCAAUUACCCUUUCGAAUGCAGCUCCUCAGGAUUCCAUCAUGCCUUCACUGCACAUGCAACCCAAAUAUGCUAAAGAAGUUAAUCAAACCCAAAUAUAAAGAAUUUCUAGAGAAUGCAACUCUGGGACAACAGAGUACCCCAUCUCAAGCUGAACAGAAACAUUAAACUAUAUCUAACAAUAACUUAGAAAUCUUUGUCAACAAUGAACGAAUCCAACCGUAAAAUGCCAUUGAAAAUGUAAAUAAAACAAAAUAAAUUAGAUAUGAGAAAUUCAUGAUAAAAUUUCAACACUUGUAAUGUAGAAGCAUUACGAUAAGCCAGUUUUGAUCCUCACCAAUGAAAGUCUAAUUAGCAGAAGAGGAAGAGACUAGUUGACUGGGUAGCUUUCUGCAAUGCCUAUUUUAAGGUUACGCUUCCGGCAAAAAUAUAAUAGAAGACUGCUCUCAUGUCAAAGUUUCUCAUACAUAGAACAACCCGCAAAAGAGAUUAAACAUUCCAAAAGAUGUCUCAACAGAAAUGAAAUGAGAUCCUAACAACUUGUUGGGAAAGUACUAUUUUGCCUUCAAUUCCAUUACUUCCUUUUGCCUUUAAGAGUGCAGUCAUAAUCAUCAAAAUACUUAGACUUUGUGAUAUGUCUUUUGGGCUUGCUAUUCAUCUUUUGUUGCCUCCUCUUGAGCCAUAACACUUUUGGCCUUCCUCUUCCUAUAUUCCCUUGUGUCUCUUGAAGACUGUGCAACAUUACUUCGACUGGAUUAUUCAAUGUGAACAGCACCACCAUAUUCAUCAUCUUUCUUUUUGGAAUAAAGAGGGCAUAUGCCGCAUUCUUUUACUCUGAUAUCGGGCCACCAAUGGCUGAUCUCAAAAGUGAAGCUGCGAGCAUCACAGAGCCUAAGGCUCAUGCCGCUUGCCCUUAGGGACUCCAAGUUAAAUUUCCACACAAAUGUGUGAUCUUUAUCAAGAAAUCUGCCUGCAUCCGUCAAGUUUAACACAUCAUUAUUUGGAAUGAUCUGUGUGCCAUCAUCAUCAGAUUCAAAUUUUAGGCUGUAACCAAAAGAACUAUAUCUACCUUUAAUAUCAUUCGUAUCUAACACUUCAAAAACCACGCACAAAGAGAAACCAGUGAGCCUAUUAUCGCUGCAAAAACUUAAAUCUUCAUUUAUAGUCACUGAAUGUCCCUUCCCACGAAAAUGGAACCAACCAGGAACUGCACUCCCUGGAUAACAGAAGAACACAGACCUAUAUGCAUCGUCGGUCAUCCUAAGCCUUGCAUCCUUCUCAAUGUUAGCACGACCACCUGAAUCCAGUUGUUGAGCAUUGGUGAAAUGAAAUUUGAAUACACCCUCUUUGGAAUUUGAGAGGUUCCGAACAAGAGAAUUUGACAUCACUUUUCUAAUGGAUGGGCAAUCCAAUGCCACGAGUUGUUUUAGAAAUGGUGGAAUCGGUGGGAUGCAUUCAAGCUUUUUGCAGUCGCUUAAAUCAAGCGAUUUCAAGCUCGAAAGAUGAGCAAUGCUCUCAGGAAGGUUCACGAUUCCGCUAUCACGCAGUGACAGUUCCAUUAAUGACGUCAAACGACCAAUGUGCCUUGGGAUUUCUGUUAAUUUGGCACACCCCGAACAAUCAAGUUUAGAGAGAAGCUUCAGAUUAACAAUGCAGUUUGGAAGUGACUCGAGAUCAGUGCAUUUGCGGAGCUCCAGGGAACGAAGAUUAACGAAAUUGGCAAAUGAGGAAGGCAGUUCUUUAACAGUCGUAGAUGUUAAGUUAAUGUGAGCAAAAGUAUGAGCCGACUCCGUGAUCUCUGGGAAGGUCCUCAGCCUUGAGCAACCACGCAAAUCAAGGUUCCUCAACUUCAAAUUGAAAAUGGUGCUUGGAAAAGUUUGAAGUGAAUUACAGUGGGCAAGGUCUAACUUGCAUAGUCUGGUGAGGCUUCCAAUGGAAGAUGGAAUAAUCUCAAGAUUGAAGCAACUGUGCAAACUCAGUUGUUGAAGCCCUACCAAACGGCACAAGGAUGAAGGUAGUGCCUGUAUGGCUGUGUCGUCUAAGAUGAGCACCGCUAGAUCUUCCAACGUGUCCUGAAUCUCGGGUAAAUUUUCCAGUUUUGAGCAACCACUGAGACAAAGUUGCUUUAGGAAUUUCAUAUCAGAAAGGUCAAACGGAAAGAUUGUAAGGGAAGAACAGUCAGAGAGAUCUAAGUAACAGAGGUUCUUGAGACUUUGAAAGUUUAAGGGCACACCUUCCAAGAGACUGUUGAACACCUCUGAGUCUUCUGAGUCUGUAGCAUUAUUAGCCACUUCUAUAUUAUAUCUGUCAAAAGUAAUUGACAAAAUUUCACUGCUUGGGGAAAUUUCACUGGAAGUUGGGAAAUUUAUCUCUUUCGUCAUAUCCAGUUCCUGACGCUCCAGUAUGACAUGAGGGAGAAAUUUAUCUUCAUGUUUACUGAUUGAAAACAUAUUAAGCUUCCGACAAUGGGAAAGAGUAAUCCAUCCUGGUGAUGUGGAUAAAAUGUUGCUCGGAAUAUUUACACUAUUCAGAUCAUCACAAUGAUCUAAACAUAAACAACUGAGUUUGCUGAGGAAUAUCGAAGAGUGAAUUUCAAUCAACUUUUUACAAUAACUCAGAAUUAUUUUUUCAAUAUUUGGUGACAUAGAAAGGUCUGGUAUUCUAGCAAGUUUCCAAGAACGUGUCAGGUCGAGCCUUUUCAAGUUGGGUAAAUUCUGCCACAAAAAGUAAAUGAAUCAGGUAACAAAUAAUAACUACUUUAUCUAUUUUUCUUCCUAUUUAAACUAUUAGCUACUACUAUUGAGUUUAUAUUUUACAUUACUUAAAAACCACUGUUAAAAAAGCCACACUGUGGACUAACAAAAUUAUAUUUUAAAAUAUUAUUAAAGAUAAAAUAUGAAGAUAGGGUAAUUAAAUUAAAUAUAAUUUUUAUUUUUCAGAAAUGAUGAAAAUUAUAAUUAAAUUAACUAAAUUAUAUAAAAUUCCAUUUUAUUUACAUAACUCCUUUUCAUAUUAAAAAACUAUAUAAGAUCUUGAAACUAUAAUUAAUAUCUUAAAAAUUUAAAUAAUAAUAAUUAUUUCUACUCAUCCUUAAUUUUUGUUGGUGAAAUCUUGAUUUUUGGGAUAAUAUCACUUAAACUUAAGAAAUAUUUGACAUUAAUGAACUCUAAACAAAUUUAUAUAAGAAAUCAAGACAUCACUUUCAAUCCGAAAUCUUAAACUAAUAGGUUUAUGGAUUUUCUUUAUAUGUUGUUCAUCUUACCAAUUUGAACCCAAUGCGAGACUUUCAACUCUAAGAGAUGAAGUGGUGUACUUUAUGCUUCUAGGACUUGUUAGAUAUUGAAACAUGUACCAUUGCUAAAAUGUUUGAAUGAAGGAGAAGUCAAAGUCUCUCUCCUUUAGAGAUAUUCGCUCAAGUGGCAAGAGGUUGAUUAAGCAAGAGAGAGAUCGUAUUAAUUCUCUCUUCUAUGCAAUUGUUGUCGUUCAAACAAUGUGGAAUCAUUCAAGCAAAGAAAUCUUCUUUUGGGUUAGGAAACAAGGUUUUUCAAGCGAGAUAAACUCGUCUAAAGAAUUUAACUCUAGUAGUGAAAUGUUGUUGCCAUGAUUUAGCCAAGUGUUUGUAUCUAUGAGGCUAAUGAUGAUGAUGACGAUGAUAAGAUGCAUGAAUGUGUAUACACAAGUGUAUGAUAUACCUCAUGUUAUAUAUUGUAUGUGAUUCAAUUGAUGACCAUUUAUUUUUAGGCCAUUUAUAUGUAUAUUUUGGCCCUUUUAUGAGUAUGUGACGAGAUAUACCUAAGAUUGUAUUAUGAUCCUAAUGAGUCGAAGUAUCAAACACAAAACUCAUUAUGGAAAAAAAAAGAUAUUUUGUGCAUCAGUUAUGAUAUGAUCACAACAAUUAAAGCAUGUGUGAACGGUUAAUAUUGUUCUUAAUAAGAAAACAAAUAAUAUUGUAUGUGACAUUAGAGAUGUCAAAUAGGUUUAGAAAAUUAUUAAGUUUAAUUAUCUUUUUAGUCUUUAUAUUAAUGACCAAAAGUCAAUUCAGAUUUUUAGAAAGUUCAAUAUGAUUUAAUUUUUUAAAAAACAAUUCAAUGUGAUUCCUUCUAGUAUAUUUCCCUUAUUAAAAUAUUUUUAUCUUAAUGAUUCUGCCACUGUUAAGUUAUAUGUGUUGUUAUCACAUUGAAUUGUUUUAAAAAAAUUUGGAACCACCACAUUAAAUUGUUUUAAAAAGUUAGUACUAAAUUGAACUUUUGAAAAUUGGGAGAAUGAAAUUAAAUUUUGUCUAUUAAUACAGGGACAAAAAAUAAUUGAAUCAAAUAUUUUACUAUUUUUGUGAUGUAUAUUUAUAUAUAAAUAAUUUUGAGAAUUUAGAGUUACAAUGUGUUAUAUCAUAUAUAUAUAAUUCUUUUUGGUAAUGUAUCCUGUAGUUGUAAGCAAGUAUGAUUAUAUUAAGUGGGGCGUUUCAAAUAGUGGAGACUACGCAUAUACAAAUAUCUCUUAUAAAGUAAGAAAACAAAACAAUCGUUACUCAAGAAGAUCAUGCAAUGCAUCACAGACAACAUGGGAGAUAUAUAUCAACAAUAAUAUGAGUAAAUAAUACAUUCAUGGGCCAUUAGACGAUAUGCCUAAAAAAAAUAUGCAAACUAUUAAAUUUAUAAUUAUUUUUAAUUAGAAACAUGCUGAGUAUGACUCUUAUGAUAUAUGUAUAACUGUGUGCUUCAAAUAAAAGAAAUUUCAAAUCGAAUAAUGUGGAGAAGGCACAAAGGAAUUGCAAAUGAAAACCUGUAGAUGUAUAAUACACAAAACAUGCUUGUCUAAUUUAUUUUUAUCUUUGAAAGUUUAGAACACAAAGGAACAUAGAUAACUUGAAAAACCUGAUCUCCUUCCCAGAGUUGUUCAAGAUCGCAGUAUGGCAUUUCGAGGAUCACUAGAUUUUGUGGGCAAAAGUUUGGAGGCCAGAAUCUUUGAAGGAAACCGUUCCAAUAAAGAAACUUUAGAGUGUCCGGCAGACCUACAAGAGAUGAUUCAAGAGACACUUUUGAAUUCAAUCUAGGCAUGUAGACCAUAAGCAUCAUAAGAUUGUCCAUCUUUUCGAAACUUUGUGCAUGUACUACAGCAUCUUUUACUUUGUUCGUAUGAUAUUGAUAUACACUGUAUUGCAUCUGACCCCUGAAAGUAAAUCAAUGUAAUUAGAAAAAAAAACAUGAAAUGUUGCAUUUCAGGAUGCUUAAUGACAGCUCAGUAGUUUUCUAUUUUUCACAAAGUAACAACAGCAUAUACCUUGUUCUUUCUUAAAACCUCACAAAUUUCCUCAUCAUUAAACAAUCGGCUGCGUUUUCCAGGAUGCUGAGGACACUCUUUACGAACAAUUUCUUUACCCAUUUCUUGUAUUAGAUCGUGCAUCACAAUUCUACCAUCAAAGACAGAGAUUAGACCCCUAUCUUUGAGAAUAUCCAUUCCAAUCUUAGAAGAGAAACCACAGUCAUCAAGUGUUUCUGCUACCACAGUCUCCUCUUGCCCUCUAUAAAAGCAAGCUAUGUCAAGAAAUAUAUUCUUCUCCUCCUCCUUGAGCCCAUAAUAACUUAAUUUUAAUACGUCGAAAGUUCCAAGAUCUUGGCCGUUUUCCAACUUUUGCAACUGACUCUCCCAUGCUUCUCUUGUUCUGCCAUAAAGCAAUGACCCCAAAAUCUGGAGAGCUAACGGAAUUCCUUUUGCAUAUCUCAACACCUUUACUGACAGGUCCAUGUAAGCAAUUCCUUCUGAAGAUUUUUGUUUAAAAGCAUGUAAACUAAAAAGUUUCAGAGAAUCAUAAAAAUUCAACUCCUUAACUUCGUAGAUAUCAUCAGCUCCAGCAUUCUUAAGCACUUGUCUGUCUCUACUGGUCAUAAUGAUUCUACUGCCCUGCCCAAAACUAUCACUCCCACCUAUUAAUUUUUGAAGUUGAGUUGAAUCGGUAACAUCAUCAAGAAUGAGGAGAACCUUUGUCCGUUUGAGCCUUUCAUUGUAAUAUGGUAAAUAAGAGGAUUUCUCUUCCUUUAGAAGCUCAGACUGAUAUUUUGUUCUGAUACCGUCUAUUCCAUCUCUUUGUAUUUUUUCUUGAACGUCUAAAACAAGGCUGCUGGAAUCAAACUGCAAUGCCAAUUUCUGAUAUAUUUGAUCACAAAUUGUAGUUUUUCCUAUUCCUCCCAUGCCACAAAUUCCUAUGAUCCGAACAUCCGUUGACUCAAGAUGCAACAAGGACUGAAUUCCUUCAAUAUUUUUUUCAAUGCCGAUGAUUCCUUGAUCAUAACUGGCGGAAUAACGAUUCAAUUUUCUCAAAAUAUCUUCCACAAUUUCUUCAACAAGUGCGUGUUCUGGCCUGGCAGAUGAUUUAGAAAAUAAAGUAUAAGUAUUCAAGCACAAAAGCUAAAGUAAACUAAAGAAAAAUUUUACAGUAACCGUUUGUGACUUCUGAUACUAGGGAGCAUACUUGUAGGUACAAAGUUAAGCUAUUGUGUGAUAUGGUUCAGAUCUAUGACCGACUAAUAGAAAUGAAAAAAGAAGCACUUGAUUUAUGGUGAGAUGAACACAAUUUUAGUAAAUGAAAAGAGAUCCUGAUUAUCUAAUAAAUAUAAUGACCUGGUGACUUUUGAAUCCCAGCCUGCAAGUCCAGCAGCUUCGGUGAGAGCAUCCUUCCAUCCUUGCACUGUGUCGUGCUUAAAGUGCUGCUCAUGCUCAUUGAAUGCUUCUUUGUAUCUUUCUUCCUGCUUCCUAAUAGUUGAUGGAUCCACCUUGUAGAAAACAGGUAUCACAUCCCUUCCAUAUCUCUUCUUGCAAUCAAGUAUCUUAGUGAGUUCAUCCAAGCACCAUGUGGAAGAUGCAUAGUUUUUGGAGAAAACGAUGACAUAAAUCUUUGAUUCUUCUAUUGCAGAGAGGAGUACAGGUGAAAUUUCUUGGCCCCUGAGUAAUCUGUAAUCAAUAUAUGCUUGAAUGUUCUUCCUUUGCAGCGCUGCAUAAAGGUGACUAAUGAAGUUGUCACGUGUGUCUUCCCCUCUGAAGCUGAGAAACACAUCAUGCUUUGUUAAAGAAGCAGACAUGGCCAAUGAUGAAGGGUUUCAAUGUUCUCUGCAACUCUCAGAUCCCUUUGUUUGUAAGCAACUUCCAUAUAUUCUAUUAGGAAGGAAAAUAUAUAUUUCUACCAUUCCUACCACAAAUUGAAAAAGCCUUUCAAUUUUCUCAAAAUAUCUUUCACAGCUGUGUUCUGUCAGAUACGAAACAUUGAGUCAAUGGAAGAGUCAACAAUUGGCAGAAUAUUAUGGUGUGUAGCUUUAUACCAUUCUUACAAUAUUUGAUUGGUUGAAUAUAUACAAUAUGACUAAUGAACUUUUUUCUUUUCCGUAUUCCACGAUAAUUCCCUAGGCACCCUAUUAUACACUUUCUUAUCAACGGAAACCAUGUCUGUCCUUUUAUAGUUUUAAUCCUAUAAUAUCUUUCCAUUAAUCAUCAUUAUCACUCUUCAACCUUCAUAUCAAGUGUAUUGAUUUCAUACUUCAUCAGCUAGACAUAAUAAAAUCUCAAUAAUCUUUUAUACUGUCAACAUUUAUAAAAAAUAUUUCCUUCAAUAAUAUUUGUACUUUCUAGCAUAUAGAAUACUUAAUGGAUUCUUCUGUGAUUUUUCUUUCCUAAAGUACAAUUGAUAUUUUAACAGAUGCCGAAAGGUCUUGAAUAUGAGGCUGUUUCGAAAUGAAAAUUGGGGUAAAGCAUUUUCAAGUUAACAAGUUUUGUUGGGUGAGUGAGUGAUCAGUGCUAGCAUUUUCAAUCUCAGUUAUAGAAUGUAAAGAUUUACACAUUUAUUUGCUGAUUAAUAAUUUAUUUAUUGAAUUAAAUGUUUUAACAGUGAGUAUGGAUUCUUGAAUGAAUGUAAUCAUGGUGUAGAAUGUACAUAGUACAUAUAGUGAGUUGGAUUGAAAUGUUGAACACGUUUUCCUCUGCAAAGAUUCAGGAUAUUUAUGAACUUGCUAUAAAUUGUUUUAACUUUUCUCUGCAACUCUCAGUCCCUUUGUUUCUACCAUUUUGUUUUUGAAAAGCCUUUCAAUUUUCUCAAAAUAUCUUUCACUGCUGUGUUCUGUCAGAUACGAAACAUUGAGUCAAUGGAAGAGUCAACAAUUCGUAGAAUAUUAUAUUAUGGUGUCAAUAUUUAAUAAAUUUAUUUAUUUCUUUAACAUAUUUUAGAAAAUAACCAGUAAACAUAAAACUUUUAGUAUGACUAAAAGAAUAAAGAUAGUGUAAGAAUAACAGGAAUAACAUUACUACAAAUAACAAUAUAUUAAUAUUAAUAUGUUUCUUAAUAAAUUUUACACCCACUGUCUAUUUAUAAAUUAAUAUAUUAUAAACAUCUAUUGAUUUUUUGUGGGUAGCUUAUUUCUGUAACAUUUUAAAUUAAUUUUUUAGAUUUUACAAAACAUUACAUUUUGAUUAUAAUAUUUAGGACUGUGAUGCAAUUUCUGCAAUGAAGGCUGGCAGACUAAGUUUCUCCAAGCCCAAUUAAUACUGGGUUGAAAAUUCUGAGAAGAGGGUGAGUAUGAUGCUGCGGUCAUGAUCUAUGUAUUAAAGUGUUAAGGCAUGGGUUUGGUUGACAGGACAAUACUGGUUUUUCAUUGCUACUACUUAAUAUGAUUCUUUCUUACUGCUAUAUGAAUUUGCUGUCAAAUAGCAGUAAAUAAAAGACUUCAAAUAAAGCAUGUGUUUAUCAUACAUGGACUAAUGCAGCAGUUUUAGUAGAAGGGGCUAAUAUGAUUUUAAUCUAGAACAAGAUGGCUAAACCCAAAGAUGGUGGGAAUAAUAUCCUCAAAUCAAUUGUUUUGGUUUUCAGUGUAAUGUCAUUUGUAAGUAUCAAAAUUUGUUUGUUAUCACAUUGGAAGGUAGUAUCUGUCAUGAAAUUUGUGGAAGACCUUUACCUAUGUUUGCUUUGGGUCUGUUUUACGCCCUCUCGAAUUAAGUAAAUUUUUAAUUGCCAUCAUGAAAUUAGGCUAAAUAUGUGUAGUUUUGAGCACUUUCUUUCUUCCAUUUCAAUUCAUAGUUUCAUACAUAUUCAAUAUCAUGUGGGAAUUAAGUUCUUGCUUUUAAGGUGAAUAACAGUUUGUAUUCUUGCAGAAAACUAUUUUCUAAUGCAUAUAAAUUUCAUUUUCUAUUUUCAGCAUUGGAUUAUGUUAUGUAAUUUUUCCUUUGUAUUAUACAGAGUAGGAUUUUAAUGUUUCUACUGAACAGUGCUAUCUUUUUUCGUCCAUAUUCUGAUUUUGUUCAAUUUUUUUCAGUAUGUGCCACAUGCAGAUCAGAUGUAAGGAAUUUUCUAAAUUUUUUUUCAAGCUUUCUUGUUUGCUUAAAGUUUUCUGUAAGUAUUUAACUGUCUUAAGUUGUUAAUGAGGACUAAGGACUGAAAAAGAGAAUUAGCCAUGACAUGGUGGCAUUAUCCUUCUUCAAAACCAUUAGUUUUUUUUCCUACAAAGAUACAUGUCAAGAAAGCAAACCAGGAACAAAAGUGAUGUUUAUGAUUGCUUUCUCUCUUGUUUACUUGCUUUCUUUUUGUUGGACAAUUGUCUUAAUUGCAUUCACACCUAACCUGCAGUAGUUUCAGUCCCUUUGGGGUUGUCAUAAUUGCAGCCUCAAGAGUGGUGGUGUAGUCCAACAUCAACCAGUGAUAUAGUUCAAAUAUAGCAUAUACAUGAAAGUCGUGUUGAUAAUCAAAGGUUGCUUCAUCUUAACUAAUAACAUGUAAAUGUCAUUUGAAUGGUUAAAAAGGAAUUCACCAGUGUAACACAAAAUGAAUGGAUUGCUUGGUUAUGUGUCAACUGUUGUACUUUUUUUGAGUUGCUUGAAAAUAAUUAAAAUUUGUUUUCAUCUAGAUCUUGGUUUUUUCCUAUGAUCAAAUCUCGAUUUAUUUCUGUGCAGAACUUUCUUGUGGACAUAAAAGGACCAGCUAUAGCAUUUUUACCGGUGCUUGCAUUUGAAGGAGGAACUAGAAGAAAUAUACCUAGGUUUGAGGUGUGUAUAAAUUAUUUUUGAUGUAUUUCGUGAUGUAGAUGUAAAAUAAUGCAAUACUUUGUUUUUAGUUUCAAUGUUACUCUUUAUCUGCAGGUUGGAAACAUAUCUUGAUGAAAUAUAGAAACAUUUUUAUUCAUAAUAUAUAUAUAAGGAUUACACAUUCAUAAUUAUUUCUUUCUGUCGUAGCAUUGUCUACCUCAAAUCACUGCAACUUUCUGUUGUUGGUAUAAAAAUACAAUAUUUUAAUCCCAGUUUUGAUAGCCUCUAUUCUUCAGUGGUUGAGAUAUUUUUUAUAAGAAUUUAGAAGUUCUGAGAUAUUUAUGAUAAGAAUUUCAAGUUCUUUGUUACUAGCAGUUUAAUGGUUAUAUCAUUUUUGUUCUCUGGAAAAUAUCUUAUACAAAAUCGGUACUUAGAUUUGGUAUUUAUAUUGUUCAUAUGUAGAAAUCUAAUACUAGCAAAUUUUGUCUAAUUUAAAAGCAAUUACAUUCUACUCUUUGGAAUAUGUUCUGGCCUGCUUUUAUGAAUUAUUUGAAAAUUUGUAAUUAUAAAAUUUAGUCUUUGAAAUUAUAAAUUUAAUAGAGAAGCAUCCAUACUAAACUUUUAUAUUAUAAAUUGUCAGUUUUAUAUUGAAAACAUAUCCCCUUUAGUAUAAGACUUAAAGGAGAUGUCUUUUGGUAUAAAAACUGAAAUAAAAAAUAUUUUAACUAUAUGGGUCAAAUGGAUGAUUAAACUUAUAAAAUGUACAAUUAAACUUAUAAAUUAUAAUAAACGAUACUUUAAUUUUAAACUAUAUUGAACUUUUAUUAAUGUUCUCGCUUUUCUUUAAAAGCUAUUGAACUCUAUCUAACAAUAACUUAAAAAUGAGAAAUUCAUGAUAAAAUUUCAACACUUGUAAUCUAGAAGUAUUACGAUAAGCCAGAAGAGGAAGAGACUAGUUGACUGGGUAGCUUUCGGCGUUCCUCUUCCUAUCUUCCCCUGUUUCUCCUGAAGAGUGUGCAACAUUGCUUCCACUGAAUUCUUCAAUGUCAUUUUCUGAUGCAGAAUAGUCAACAGCACCACCAUAUUUAUCAUCUUUCUUUUUCGUAUAAAGAGGGCAUAUGCCGCAUUCUUUUAUUCUGAUACCUGAUUUCAACUCUCUCUCAACUGAUUCGUAAUCUGGCCGAUUUGGCCGCAGAAAGGGAUCAUACGGACUGAUCUCAAAAGUGAAGCUGCGAGCAUCACACAGCCUAAGGCUCAUGCCGCUCGCCAUUAGGGACUCCAAGUUAAAUUUCCACACGAAUGUCCCUUCACCAUCCCAUUUGAAAUAGCUAUUUAACACACCCUUAUAUGGAAUGAUCUGUGUGCCAUCAUCAUAUUCAAAUUUUAGGCUGUAACGAAAAGAACCAUAUCCACCUUUAAUAUCUAACACUCCAAAAGCUACACACAAAGCGAAACCAGUGAGCCUAUCAUCGCUGCAGAAACUUAAAUCUUCAUUUAUAGUCACUGAAUGUCCCUUCCCACGAAAAUUGAACCAACCAGGAACUGCACUCCCUGGAAAACAGAACAACACACACCUAUAUGUAUCGUCGAUCAUCCUAAGCCUUGCAUCCUCCUCGAUGUUAGCACGAGCACCUGAAUCCAGUUGUUGAGCAUUGGUGAAAUGAUAUUUGAAGACACCCUCUUUGGAAUUUGACAAGUUUGGAACAAGAGAAUUUGACAUCACUCUUCUAAUGGAUGGGCAAUCCAAUGCCUCGAGUUGUUCUAGAAAUGGUGGAAUCGGUGGAAUGCAUUCAAGCUUUUUGCAGUCGCUUAAAUCAAGUGAUUUCAGGCUUGAAAGAUGAGCAAUGCUCUCAGGAAGGUUCACGAUUCCGCUAUCACGCAGUGACAGUUCCAUUAAUGACGUCAAGCGACCGAUGUGUCUUGGGAUUUCUGUUAAUUUGGCACACCCCGAACAAUCAAGUUUAGAGAGAAGCUUCAUAUUAACAAUGGAGUUUGGAAGUGACUCGAGAUAAGUGCACUCUUGGAGUUCCAGGGAUCGAAGAUUAACCAAAUUGCCAAAUGAGGAAGGCAGUUCUUUAACAGCCGUACAUGUCAAGUCAAUAUGAGCAAAAGUAUGAGCCGGCUUCAUGAUCUCUGGGAAGGUCCUCAGCCUUGAGCAACCACCCAAAUCAAGCUUCCUCAAUUUCAAAUUGAAAAUGGUGCUUGGAAAAGUUUGAAGUGAAUUACAGUAGGUAAGGUGUAACUUGCAUAGUCUGGUGAGGCUUCCAAUGGAAGAUGGAAUAAUCUCAAGAUUCAAGCAACUGUGCGAACUCAGUUGUUGAAGCCCUACCAAACGGCACAAGGAUGAAAACUUAUUUUAUUUUUGCUGUUCAUGCAUAACAUUAACAAAUAUUGACAUGAGAGAUUGUGUUUGUAGGCUUCUAAGCUCACCAACGUGUCCCGUUCUUGAUGCUUUAGGGAAGAAAAUUUCCUUUGAGAUUGCAAAAGGACUCAGGAGAAUUUAGAAGUUCUGAGAUAUUUAUGAUAAGAAUUCAAGUUCUUUGUUACUAGCAGUUUAAUGGUUAUAUCAUUUUUGUUCUCUGGAAAAUAUCUGAUACAAAAUUGGUACUUAGAUUUGGUAUUUAUAUUGUUCAUAUGUAGAAAUCUAAUACUAUAGCAAAUUUUAUCUAAUUUAGAAGCAAUUAUAUUCUACUCUUUGGAAUAUGUUCUGGCCUGCUUUUAUGAUUGUAAUUAUAAAUUUAAUAGAGGAGAUUACCAAACAUCCAUACUAAUUAAACUUUUAUAUUAUAAAUUUUUUCAGUUUUAUAUUGAAAACAUAUCCCUUUAGUAUAAGACUUAAAGGAGAUGUCUUUUGGUAUAAAAACUGAAAUAAAAAAUCUUUUAACUAUAUGGGUCAAAUGGAUGAUUAAACUUAUAAAUGUACAAUUAAACUUAUAAAUUGUAAUAAACGAUACUUUAAUUUUAAACUCUAUUGAACUUUUUUUAAUGUUCUCGCUUUUCUUUUAAAUGCAUUUCACUUGUGUGUUUUGUAUUCAGGCUGAUUUUAACUUUAUUCUCAAAUAUACAAAAUAAUUUUUGGUAAUUAUCUUGUGUCGAUCUUGACUUGUAGUAUCAAUGUGAAAUAUGUAAUAAUUACUUUUCUAUGAUUCAGAGGGAAAAUUAUUCCAACUAGACUUUUACAAAUAUAUUUCAAGUGGUAAUAUGAUUUUAAAAAAAAUAGGAUUCGCCACAAAAAAAAGUUACUGUUCCUAAUUGACAUGGUGCUGUCAAAAUUAUUUAAUUACAAUUUAGAUCUUCACUCUACAUAUAAUUAAUUAAUUACCAAUUAUUUAAAAGACUAGUAAAUUAUAAUUUUAAUCUCUCUACAACUUUCUAAAUUUAGUUAUGAUUCUCUCAAAAAAAUUUCCCUUAAAUAUUAAUUAUAAUUACCUUUAGACAGAAACAUUUCUAAUUUAAACAAGCAAAAAUAAGAAAAAAAAAUAGAUUACAAAAACUAAAUUUGAAUUUUUUUAUAUAACUCCAAAUAUAUUUUAUCCAUAAAUAAAUUCUAUUAAUAUUUCAUUUCUGUUUAAAUAGUUUAUUCAUAUUUGUAAUAUUAUUUUCAAAAAACAAUAAUUGUUUUUUGAAUAAAGGUUUACAAAUUCUAUAAUAAUGUAAAUGAGAAGAGGAGUGAGGGUAAAAAUAUGAGAACCUAUGUGAGGGAAUCUUGUGACAAUUUAGCUGGUGUUCAACUUGUGAGAAGUCUUUCAACUUGGUUUUCAAGUUUUAUAUUCAAUUUCUGUUCCUUCAAAUGUUUCUGAUUUUACAGCUCCUCAGGAUUUUACAGCUCCAUGCACAAACCUAAUACAAUGAUAUGAUAUUCAAUCAGCAUUAAUUAGCAUAAACAGGUACCUUGUUGUAAAACUGGGAAUAUGAGAUUCCAUAGGAUGGAGAAAAGUAUGAAGAGGAAUUACCAAUCACCAUUUACCAAUCAUAAUGCCUUCACUACAAAUGCAACCCAAAUAUGCUAAAGAAGUUAAUGAAACUAUAUAUGAAGAGUUUCAAGAAGAUGCAACUCUGGGACAACAGAGCAACCCAUCUCAUGCUGAACACAAACAUCAAACUACAUCUAACAAUAAUUCAGAAAUCUUAAUCAACAAUUGAGCGAACCCACUCCUAAAAUGCCAUUGAGAAUGUAAAUAAAUCAAAAUACAUUAAAAACGAGAAAUUCUUAAUAAAAAUUCAACGUGUUGAACCUUGUAAUUUAGAAGUAUUAACGAGAAGCCAGUUUAGAUCCUCACCAAUGAAAGACUAUUUUACAGGUUAGCUUCCACUGGAUUCUUCAAUGUGAACAGCACCACCAUAUUUAUCAUCUUUCUUUUUGGAAUAAAGAGGGCAUAUGCCGCAUUCUUUUAUUGUCACAACUGACCACCCAAAGUCAUAAAGAGGACUGAUCUCAAAAGUGAAGCUGCGAGCAUCACACAGCCUAGGGCUUAGGGAUUCUAAGUUAAAUUUCCAGACGAAUGUGUGAUCUUUAUCAACAAAACUGUAUUCACCAUUCCAUUUGAAAUGUCUGUUUAACCUAUCAUUAUUUGGAAUGAUAUGUGUGCCAUCAUCAUCAGAUUCAAAUUUUAGGCUGUAACCAAAAGAACCAUAUCUACCUUUAACAGAAUUCGUAUCUAACACUCCAAAAACCACACACAAAGCGAAACCAGUGAGCCUAUCAUCGCUGCAGAAACUUAAAUCUUCAUUUAUAGUCACUGAAUGUCCCUUCCCACGAAAAUGGAACCAACCAGGAACUGUACUCCCUGGAAAACAGAAGAACACAGACCUAUAUCUAUCAUCGGUCAUCCUAAGCCUUGCAUCCUCCUCAAUGUUAGCACGACCACCUGAAUCCAGUUGUUGAGCAUUGGUGAAACGAAAUUUGAAGACACCCUCUUUGGAAUUUGACAAGUUUUGAACAAGAGAAUUUGGCAUCACUCUUCUAAUGGAUGGGCAAUCCAAUGCCACGAGUUGUUUUAGAAAUGGUGGAAUCUGUGGGAUGCAUUCAAGCUUUUUGCAGUCGCUUAAAUCAAGCGAUUUCAAGCUUGAAAGAUGAGCAAUGCUCUCAGGAAGGUUCACGAUUCCGCUAUCACGCAGUGACAGUUUCACUAAUGACGUCAAGCGACCGAUGUGUCUUGGGAUUUUUGUUAAUUUGGCACACCCCGAACAAUCAAGUUUAGAGAGUAGCUUCAGACUAACAAUGGAGUUUGGAAGUGACUCGAGAUCAGUGCAUUUGCGGAGCUCCAGGGAUCGAAGAUUAACGAAAUUGGCAAAUGAGGAAGGCAGUACUUUAACAGCCGUAUAUGAUAAGUCAAUGCGAGCAAAAGUAGGAGCCCGCUCCGUGAUAUCUGGGAAGGUACUCAGGCUUGAGCAACCACACAAAUCAAGCUUGCUCAAUUUCAAAUUGAAAAUGCUGCUUGGAAAAGUCUGAAGUGAAUUACAGCGGGUGAGGUGUAACUUGCAUAGUCUGGUGAGGCUUCCAAUGGAAGAUGGAAUAAUCUGAAGAUUGAAGCAACUGCGCAAACUCAGUUCUUCAAGCCCUAUCAAACGGCACAAGGAUGAAGGUAGUGCCUGUAUGGCUGUGGCGUCUAAGAUGAGCACCGCUAGAUCUUCCAACGUGUCCUGAAUCUCGGGUAAAUUUUCCAAUUUUGAGCAACCACGGAGAGAAAGUUGAUUUAUGAAUUUCAUAUCAGAAAGGUCAAUUGGAAAGAUUGUAAGAGAAGAACAGUGAGAGAGAUCUAUGUGAGAGAGCUUCUUGCCACUAAAUUGUAAGGGCACACCUUCGUAGUCUUCUGAGUAUUCUGAGUCUGUAGCAUUAUUAGCAUUUAUCUCUUUCAUCAUAUCCGGUUCCUGACGCUCCAGUAUGACAUGAGGGAGAAAUUUAUCUUCAUGUUCACCCAAUGAAAACAUAUUAAGCUUCUCACAACCGGAAACACUAAUCCAUCCUGGUGAUGUGGAUAAAAUGUUGCUGGGAAUAUUUACACUUUUGAGAUUAGAACAAUGAUCUAAACAUAAACAACUGAGCUUGGUGAGGAAUAUCGAAGAGUGAACUUCAAUCAACUUUGAACAAUAACUCAGCUUUAUUUCUUCAAUAUUCGGUGACAGAGAAAGGUCUGGUAUUCUAGUAAGUUCCCAAGAUUUAACCAGGUCGAGCCUUUUCAAGUUGGGUAAAUUCUGCCAGAAAUAGUAAAUGAAUGAGGUAACAAAUAAAAACUACUUUAUCUAUUUUUCUUCCUAUUUAAACUAUUAGCUACUAUCUAUUGAGUUUAUAUUUUACAUUACUUAAAAACCACUGUUAAAAAAACCACACUGUGGACUAACAAAACUCUGCCUAUAAAUUUUAUAGUUAUUAUAAAAAAUCACAAAAUUUAACGUCUUUUUGUUCCCUACCUAAAAUUACAUCCUAAUCAUUUGAACCUAAACUUAUUAUGUAUUCAAAAACUUAUGAUAGUAAUUUAUAAUCGAUCACAAUGUCAAAAUACUUUAUAUUAUACAUGUAUCAACUCACAAAAUAAAUGGUGUUGUCUCAGAUUUAAAAUUAAACCUUAGUUAAAAAGUCCAUCUUUCCAUAAUUUAUUUUAUUAAAUACAUAAUUUGUAAUUUAUUGUAUAUUAUAUUCAAGUUUAUGUUAUGAUAAAAAAAGUAUCUAAGGCAUUUUUAAUUAAAUAAUAUAAAAUAAACAACAUGAACUCAAUUAAAUAAUAUAAAUUUUUUUGAAUACUCGAUGGAAUAAAAAAAUUAAUAAAACCCUCAAUUUGAAAAUAACCAAAUUUAUAAGAUACUUAAAACUUAAUUAAACCUACAAAUUUUCAUUAUAUGGAAUUAAAUAUUGUAAAGAUUUACCACAUAAGUUUCAUAAGUAGAAGGUUUAAACAUAAAAUUCUUCACGUUGGGAGUUUCUUUCCUCUAUCUUAUAAGUUUUCGUUGUUUCUUUAAUAUUUUUUAUAUGGCUUCUGUCAAUGUAAUUUUUUUUUUGGUUUUAAAAUAUUAUUAAAGAUAAAAUAUGAAGACAGGGUAAUUAAAUUAAAUAUAAUUUUUAUUUUUCAGAAAUGAUGAAAAUUAUAAUUAAAUUAACUAAAUUAUAUAAAAUUCCAUUUUAUUUACAUAACUCAUUUUCAUAUUAAAAAACUAUAUAAGAUCUUCCAAAGUAGAUAUAAUACAUUCACGGGCCAUUAGAUGAUAUGCCUAAAAAAAUAUGCAAACUAUUAAAUUUAUAAUUAUCUUUAAUUAGAAACAUGCUGAGUAUGACUCAAAUAAAAGAAAUUUCAAAUCGAAUAAUGUCGAGAAGGCACAAAGGAAUUGCAAAUGAAAACUUGUAUAUGUAUAAUACAGAAAACAUGCUUGUAUAAUUUAUUUUUAUCUUUGAAAGUUUAGAACACAAAGGAACAUAGAUAGCUUGAAAAACCUGAUCUCCUUCCCAGAGUUGUUCAAGAUGGCAGAAUGGCAUUUCGAGGGUCACUAGAUUUUGUGGGCAAAAGUUUGGAGGCCAAAAUCUUUGAGGGAAAUGUGUCCAAUAAAGAAUCUUUAGAGUGUCUGGCAUAUCCACAAGAGGUGAUUCAAAAGACACUUUUAAUUCCAAUCCCCACGUGUAGAGCCUAAGCACCCUAAGAUUGUUCAUCUUUUCGAAACUUUGUGCAUGUACUACAACUUCUUUUACUUUGAAAGUAGAUAGUGAUAUACACUCUAUUGAAGUAGAUAGUGAUAUACACUCUAUUGCAUCUGACCCCUGAAAGUAAAUCAUGAAAUGUUGCAUUGCAGGAUGUUUGAUGACAGCUCAGUGGUUUGCAAUUUUUCACAAAGUAAAUCCAUUCUCAAUUGAGUAACGACAUAAUACCUUGUUCUUUCUUAAAACCUCUCAAAUUUCCUCAGCAUUAAACAAUCGGCUGCGUUUUCCAGGAUGCUGAGGACACUCUUUACGAACAAUUUCUUUACCCAUUUCUUGUAUUAGAUCGUGCAUCACAAUUCUACCAUGAAAGACAGAUAUUAGGCCCCUAUCUUUGAGAAUAUCCAUUCCAAUCUUGGAAGAGAAACCACAGUCAGCAAGUAUUUCUGCUACCACAAUCUCUUGUGACCUAUAUAAAAGCAAGCUAUGUCAAGAAAUAUAUUCUUCUCCUCCUCCUCGAGCCCAUCAUAACUUAAUUUUAAUACAUUGAAAAUACCAAGAUGUUGGCCCUUUUCCAACUUUUGCAACUGACUCUCCCAUGCUUCUCUUGUUCUUCCAUAAAGCAAUGACCCCAAAAUCUGGAGAGCUAAUGGAAUCCCUUUUGCAUAUCUCAACACCUUUUCUGACAGUUCCCUGUAAGCAAUUUCUUCUGAAGAUUUUUGUUUAAAAGCAAGUAAACUAAAAAGUUUCUGAGAAUCAUCAAAAUUCAACUCCUUAACUUCGUAGAUAUCAUCAGCUCUAGCAUUCUUAAGCACUUGUUUGUCUCUACUGGUGAUAAUGAUUCUACUGCCCUGCCCAAAACUAUCACUCCCUCUUAUUAAUUUUUGAAGUUGAGCUGAAUCGGUAACAUCAGUUAGAAGUGGAACACGUUUGUAGAAGUGGAACACGUUAGUUGGUUAGUUGCCUUAAGAAGCGGAUCAUGUAUUUUUUCUUGAACGUCUAAAACAAGGCUGCUGGAAUCAAACUGCAAUUCCAAUUUGUGAUAUAUUUGAUCACAAAUUGUAGUUUUUCCUAUUCCUCCCAUGCCACAAAUGCCUAUGAUCCGAACAUCCGGUAAGUCAAGAUGCAACAAGGACUGAAUUCCUUCAAUAUUUUUUUCAAUGCCGAUGAUUCCUUGAUCAUAACUGAUGGAAUAACGAUUCAAUUUUCUCAAAAUAUCUCCCACAAUUCCUUCAACAAGUGUGUGUUCUGACCUGGCAGAUGAUUUAGAAAAUAAAGUAUAAGUAUUCAUGCACAAAAGCUAAAACAAAACUAAAGAAAAAUUCAGAGUCAAGAAGAGUGAACAUCAUUGAAUAGAUUCACAUAUUGAUUGUAGGACGUUAUCUUCGAAUAUUAGUGUGGUUGGUUUAGAAAUUGCAAAUCAAGAUCGCAGAAAUUCUACAGUAACCGGUAGUGACUUCUGAUACUAGGAAGCAGUCUUGUAGGUACAAAGUUAAGCUAUAAGAUGUGAUAUGGUUCAGAUCUAUGACCCACUACGAAAAAUGGAAAAAAGAAACACUUGAUUUAUGGUGAGAUGAACACAAUUUUAGUAAAUGAAAAGAGAUCCUGAUUAUCUAAUAAAUAUAAUGACCUGGUGACUUUUGAAUCCCAGCCUGAAAGUCCAGCAGCUUCGGUGAGAGCAUCCUUCCAUCCUUGCACUUUGUCGUGCUUAAAGUGCUGCUCAUGCUCAUCGAAUGCUUCUUUGUAUCUUUCUUCCUGCUUCCUAAUAGUUGACGGAUCCACCUUGUAGAAAACAGGUAUGACAUCCCUUCCAUAUCUCUUCUUGCAAUCAAGUAUCUUAGUGAGUUCAUUCAAGCACCAAGUGGAAGAUGCAUAGUUUUGGGAGAAAACGACGAUAUAAAUCUUCGAUUCUUCUAUUGCAGAGAGCAGUGCAGAUGAAAUUUCUUCGCCCCGGGGUAGUGUCUCAUCAAUAUAUGCUUCUAUGUUCUUCCUUUGCAGUGCUGGAUGAAGGUGGCUAAUGAAGUUGUCACGUGUGUCUUCCCCUCUGAAGCUGAGAAACACAUCAUGCUUUGUUAGAGAAGUGGACACGGGGAAUGAUGAAGAACUUCCUGUUUAAUUUCUUCGCCCCUGUUUAAUCUGUAAUCAAUAUAUGCUUCAAUGUUCUUCCUCUGCAGCGCUGCAUAAAGGUGACUAAUGAAGUUGUCACGUGUGUCUUCCCCUCUGAAGCUGAGAAACACAUCAUGCUUGGUUAGAGAAGCAGACAUGGCCAAUGAUGAAGGGUUUCAAUUUUCUCUGCAACUCUCAGAUCCCUUUGUUUGUAAGCAACUUGCAUAU
rnacentral:lncRNA from 1 species